GGCAGGGCUGCGGUAAUCUGCCGGGAGAGGGGAGAAAGGGAGAGGCAUCUAGAACCACCACUGCUACCCGGUCUGUCCCCAGCCGAUUGCGGGAGAAGUCAGCAGCCAACUCGCCACACCAGAAGAGAACAGCAAAGGGAUCAAGAAACUUUGUGUCCAGUGCCCUUUUGGUAACCUGAGGUCAGGCUGCAGUGACAUCUGCUGGCAGAGACAGAAGUGGCCCUAACAGGAUUUUCUGUUGCUGGCAACCAGCAGGGGUGAAGAAGACGGCACCUAAGAAGGUUCCGAGGAAUCUGAACGAUGCUCAAUGACAUUGUCAGCAACUGCAGAGAAGAGGAGCCCCUGAAGGAAGAACAUGGCACUUGCGGACACUCAUGUAGACAAUGCCAUCCUUAGCAGAAUGAGGAAGUUGGCGGGAGAGCUCAUUGCUAUUAAGGAAGACCUUGGUUUCUAACCUCCUUGUGAACUUGAAAAAUACUUAGUCCUCCACUGAGUCUUGGCUUUUCCAUUUGAGGGAGCAUUACUAUACUAGCAUCUUAGCUCUGUCCCUUGGAGACAUCUAUAGAACAUAACAUACAGAAUAGAAUCAUCAACAUCUAUAGAAUAUAAGACUCAACAAAGGGCUGUCAGGCACUCCUGUUUCCUGGGAUGUCUUACCUCAGUGACAUUCUUCCUUUGUUGGAUAACUAGUCAGGGCUAGGAAGCUCUGUUCAACCAUGUUAGAGUCUUCUACAGCAAUGAUUCUCCAACAGUGGUCUGCAGACCUGGGCUGGUUCAGCAGCAAUUUGUUACCUGUAA